UUUGUAUGAGGAGCACUGGUGUAGACCAUUACAGAGGAAACCAUGCCUGCUUGAUGACAUUGCAGGUGGAAGAGAGAUGAGCAGCACAGAGGAGACGAUAUCGUGUAUUAGUCACUAGUUACUGUACGGAGGCUGCAGAAGUCUAUCACUAAAUAAAUAUGGAAAAUGCUGGAGUCACGUUUUCCUGUGUCCUUGAGAUCUAUCUUCAUUUGCUGACACCGGUUCUUGGCUUUGGGUACAAAUAUAACAGGCAGCAAAAUCCUUUCAAAGCCGGAGGAAGAAAUCACAGACUAGACUU